rnacentral:lncRNA from 10 species
AGCCAGGAUGGUCUCGAUCUCCUGACCUCGUGAUCCACCCGCCUCGGCCUCCCAAAAAACUGUGAACUUCAGUUGUUUUAUGUUUUAUAUUUUAACUGCAGUCUCCAUUGAAGAUGUUUUCAGAUGGCAUUAUCAAAACCGUUCUUUGAGGCAAAUAAUUAUUCUGACUGUGGGGGUCUGAAUGAAAAAAGCCUUUUCAGUAGAAGUCUCUUGAAAAAGUCCCAACUAUAAGGCGUGGACACGAGUAGGAAGGGAGAGAAGACAGAGGCACAGGGGAGUGCAGAGCAGAGUAGUGUGAAAUGCGGAGAGAAGGAAGUAGAGGAUGAAAGAGGGGAAGACAGAGGGGAGAAGAAGGAAAAGAGGAACAUAGACCUGCUGGCAGAAAAGGAGAAAUGCUGUACGAGGUUUAUGAAUAGGUCAGUUUGGUAUACAAACUGAAGCCCUAAGUGGACUGCUACUACUAUUGCAGGAACACAGCACACAAGAAAAGGUGUCUGUCUUUCCUGUGUAAUGGACAGGUUUUGAAUCGUGGGCCCAGAAGGAUUGUCUGAAUUAUAAGGAAUGUCCAUUUGUGCUUUAGCAACUUGAAGCUUCAGUGAAAAGAAUCAGAACACAGAGAAAACUUGCUGCUAGGACAAAAAUGAAGGAAAGAAUCAUCCCAGGAUGGUGAUACUCGGGUUACAGGCUCACAGGCAGAAGGGACUUGGCCUUUCUCAGAUGAGACUUUGGACUGUGGACUUCAGAGGUAAUGCUGAAAUGAGUUGACUUUGGGGGGACUGUUGGGAUGGCAUGAUUGGUUAUGAAAUGUGAUGACAUGAGAUUUUGGGAGGAGCCAGCUACCGCUCAUAAGGUUUCACUCUCUGUCCCCACUCAAAUCUCAUCUUGAAUUGUACUCCCAUAAUUCCCAUGUGCUAUGUGAGGGACGCAGUGAGAGAUAAUUGAAUCAUGGGGGCAGUUUCCCUCAUACUGUUCUUGUGGUAGUGAAUAAGUUUCAUGAGAUCUGAUGGUUUUAUCAGGGGAAACCCCUUUCAUUGGCUCUCAUUCUUUUUGUUACCACCACCAUGUAAGAAGUGCCUUUCACCUUCCACCUUGAUUGUGAGGUCUCCC